rnacentral:rRNA from 1 species
UACGUAGGGUGCGAGCGUUAAUCGGAAUUACUGGGCGUAAAGCGUGCGCAGGCGGUUCGUGAUGUCUGAUGUGAAAGCCCCGGGCUCAACCUGGGAACUGCAUUGGAAACUAGCGGGCUGGAGUGUGGCAGAGGGGGGUGGAAUUCCACGUGUAGCAGUGAAAUGCGUAGAGAUGUGGAGGAACACCUGCGGCGAAGGCGGGUAGCUGGGCCAACACUGACGCUGAUGCGCGAAAGCUAGGGGAGCAAACGGG